AUCCAGCUGACGAGUCUCAAAUAGGACGAAACGCGCGUCGUGGAU
rnacentral:hammerhead_ribozyme from 1 species